rnacentral:rRNA from 1 species
GAUGAACGCUGGCGGCGUGCCUAAUACAUGCAAGUCGAGCGAACAGAUAAGGAGCUUGCUCCUUUGACGUUAGCGGCGGACGGGUGAGUAACACGUGGGUAACCUACCUAUAAGACUGGAAUAACUCCGGGAAACCGGGGCUAAUGCCGGAUAACAUUUAGAACCGCAUGGUUCUAAAGUGAAAGAUGGUUUUGCUAUCACUUAUAGAUGGACCCGCGCCGUAUUAGCUAGUUGGUAAGGUAACGGCUUACCAAGGCAACGAUACGUAGCCGACCUGAGAGGGUGAUCGGCCACACUGGAACUGAGACACGGUCCAGACUCCUACGGGAGGCAGCAGUAGGGAAUCUUCCGCAAUGGGCGAAAGCCUGACGGAGCAACGCCGCGUGAGUGCUGAAGGUCUUCGGAUCGUAAAACUCUGUUAUUAGGGAAGAACAAAUGUGUAAGUAACUGUGCACGUCUUGACGGUACCUAAUCAGAAAGCCACGGCUAACUACGUG